rnacentral:rRNA from 1 species
CCCUGGUAGUCCACGCCGUAAACGAUGGAUACUAGGUGUGGGGGGUCUGACCCCCUCCGUGCCGCAGUUAACACAAUAAGUAUCCCACCUGGGGAGUACGAUCGCAAGGUUGAAACUCAAAGGAAUUGACGGGGGCCCGCACAAGCGGUGGAGUAUGUGGUUUAAUUCGAAGCAACGCGAAGAACCUUACCAGGACUUGACAUCCUACUAACGAAGCAGAGAUGCAUAAGGUGCCCUUCGGGGAAAGUAGAGACAGGUGGUGCAUGGUUGUCGUCAGCUCGUGUCGUGAGAUGUUGGGUUAAGUCCCGCAACGAGCGCAACCCUUAUUGUUAGUUGCUACGCAAGAGCACUCUAGCGAGACUGCCGUUGACAAAACGGAGGAAGGUGGGGACGACGUCAAAUCAUCAUGCCCCUUAUGUCCUGGGCCACACACGUACUACAAUGGCGGUCAACAGAGGGAAGCAAAGCCGCGAGGUGGAGCAAAUCCCUAAAAGCCGUCCCAGUUCGGAUUGCAGGCUGAAACUCGCCUGUAUGAAGUCGGAAUCGCUAGUAAUCGCGGAUCAGCAUGCCGCGGUGAAUACGUUCCCGGGCCUUGUACACACCGCCCGUCACACCAUGAGAGUCGGGAACACCCGAAGUCCGUAGCCUAACAGCAAUGGGGGCGCGGCCGAAGGUGGGUUCGAUAAUUGGGGUGAAGUCGUAACAAGGUAGCCGUAUCGGAAGGUGCGGCUG